rnacentral:rRNA from 1 species
GACGAACGCUGGCGGCGUGCUUAACACAUGCAAGUCGAACGGAAAGGCCCUGCUUUUGUGGGGUGCUCGAGUGGCGAACGGGUGAGUAACACGUGAGUAACCUGCCCUUGACUUUGGGAUAACUUCAGGAAACUGGGGCUAAUACCGGAUAGGAGCUCCUGCUGCAUGGUGGGGGUUGGAAAGUUUCGGCGGUUGGGGAUGGACUCGCGGCUUAUCAGCUUGUUGGUGGGGUAGUGGCUUACCAAGGCUUUGACGGGUAGCCGGCCUGAGAGGGUGACCGGCCACAUUGGGACUGAGAUACGGCCCAGACUCCUACGGGAGGCAGCAGUGGGGAAUAUUGCACAAUGGGCGGAAGCUUGAUGCAGCAACGCCGCGUGCGGGAUGACGGCCUUCGGGUUGUAAACCGCUUUCGCCUGUGACGAAGCGUGAGUGACGGUAAUGGGUAAAGAAGUACCGGCUAACUACGUG